AUGAACGCUGGCGGCGUGCUUAAUGCAUGCAAGUCGAACGAGAACCUUUUUGUAGGUAACUACAGAGAGACUUCUAGUGGCGAACGGGUGAGUAACACGUGAGAAACCUGCCCCGAAGACCGGGAUAGCCCAUGGAAACGUGGAUUAAUACCGGAUACCCUCACGGAAUCGCAUGGCUCUGUGAGGAAAUGCUCCGGCGCUUUGGGAUGGUCUCGCGGCCUAUCAGCUUGUUGGUGAGGUAACGGCUCACCAAGGCACUGACGGGUAGCUGGUCUGAGAGGACGAUCAGCCACACUGGGACUGAGACACGGCCCAGACUCCUACGGGAGGCAGCAGCAGGGAAUAUUGCACAAUGGGCGCAAGCCUGAUGCAGCGACGCCGCGUGAGGGAUGAAGGCUUUCGGGUUGUAAACCUCUUUCAGUGGGGAAGAAGCGCAAGUGACGGUACCCACACAAGAAGGCCCGGCCAACUACGUG
rnacentral:rRNA from 1 species